rnacentral:lncRNA from 1 species
GGGGCGAACUGAAGCUGCCUCAGUUUCCUUGUUUUGCAAGCUUCAUCCAAAAUCUUCCAUAUUAUGAUGCUGCAAUCCAAAGCUUUCUCAUCCAAAAAUUCUACAAAACUAACAAAUAUGUGAAAUAACUAUUCAAAACAAAAUAAAUUAAACCUAAUUGCAUUUAUACAAAAUAGUGAGAAUAAAAGUGUGUAAUUACAUCAAAACUUGGUAAAAGGGACCAAUAAAUGGUAUAAAAAGUAGUACUAAUUGGUCCCUAACAACUCUCCCCAAUUAGCAUUUUGUUGUCCUAAACAAAAGUUUCCACCCUUACAUCAAAGCAAUGACACAAAAGAUUGAAACAAGGAUUUACCAAGAACAUUCAAAUGGCUCAAAGUGUUUGGCAUUUUCUCAAUUCACCUAUCUCAAUUCUAGACAAAAUAUGAAUAAGGGAAAUGGUAAAGUGCAAAAUCAUUCAAGGAAUUCAAAGCCAUAUAUGUCAAAAUUGAAUCAAGCUUACACACACAUCAUAAUAAUGACGAAUAACAUGAAGGGUUACUUCACUCAUCCAAGCAAUUAAUCAACAACAACUCAAUCAUGCGCGUUAUCACACAAGCAAGUACCAAUCAUGUGAAAAAUGAGAAUCAAGAGGUCUUUCAAAGGUUGUAAUGUGGCUUAGGUUACAAGAAAGGAUAUGAUUAAGACAAUCAACAAAUUGCCUAUCCUAAGGGGAGCAUUCCCAAAGAUUCACUCUACAACAUUUCCCUUUCUUUGAUCCCUAUCUUUUUCUUUUUCUUUUUCUUUUCAAAUCACACAACCAUGAGCAUUUCCUUUGCUUUUUUCUUUUCUAAUUUUUUUCUAUGCUCUAUGGUUUCAAGGGUGAUUUCUUUUUCUUGUUUCUUUUCAUAUUUUUUACCCUUUCAUAGAACUCACUUUUCCAAGUUUUCUAAUCAACUUUUCACUUUACUCUCCCCAACUUUAGAUUCCAAAACCAAAUUUAUUCAAUAAUGCUCCCUACUUAGACAUAAGCAAAAGGCAAAAUUUUGCAAACAACUCGGUUUGAGUUUUUCAACUGAUACGAAAGAAAUUAGGAUUCAUUAUUCCACAAUUUUCAAUUGAUUUUACAAUGAUCAAUCAAUGAAUCCUAAAUUAAGCUCAAAGGGGGUUAACUAAGGAUUAUUCCUCACAAGGUUAGUUGAUUCAAACUUUUUGGUCAAGUGGUUUCUCACAAACAAUGCCUCUAUCAUUUUCAAAAAUUUCACACAAAAUGGAUUGAUGCAUGAUUUAAGCAUGAUAAGAAUGAGUUAAAACAAUGCUCGGUUUCCCGCUUUUAGUGUACAAUGGAAAGUCUCCUCACAACUGGCUAAGUCCUAUUUUGAUUCAAAAAUGACAUAUUCUCAAUGAAUUUAUGACAUGGAAUUGCACCAUUCACACAUCAAACUACUCAUGUAAGUCUAGAAAGCGAUAAAGUGUACCUGAAAUGCCGACACUAAUUCUUAUCAUCACCACUCGAAGUGUCCUAUGCUCUUUCUUUGCGAUCAUUUCUCGUUGCUUAAAGCUUGACUUAUGAGUAAGAACAUUAAUCAAAAAUGUUGGCAAACCAAUAUUUGAUUAAAACACACUUAAAUUUCAAAAAGUAUUCAUGCAAUUAUCAAGACACACUCUAAAAUUCAACAAACUCCUCAAUCUUCCUUCAACUCAUCGCAUGGUUUACACCACCUCCUGCACCCCCAAAUUCGCCUUCCCUCAGGCCACUUAGCAUAAUCAACAAAAUCCUCUAAAGAAGGAAUGGAGAGGGGAAGUUUUGAAAUUUGGAGGUUUGGAUGUGAGUAGCGAGUUGUUGAAAGAAUCUCCUAAGUUCGUGAAAAUAGGAAUGAAACGAAAAUGACAUAAAACAAAAGUUUUUUUUUUUUUUUUUUUCAGUUCGCGGGCGAACUGAAGGAAAUUUCAAAAAAAAUAGUUCUGUUAUUUACUGUUCGCGGGGCGAACUUUGUUCGCGGCGCGAACUGAGUUGUGAAUUCAGUUCGCGGGGCGAACUGUAAAAACCAGAAUCCAAUUUUUUUCAAAAUUUAACACAGCAAAAACUCACACAAGCAGAAAAAAAUUAAAUUACAGACUUACAACGUUGGGUUGCCUCCAACAAGCGCUUGUUUAACGUCGUUUGAGCUUGACGGUCCACUGAUUAGCCCGGUUUAAAUAGAGACACGACAUCCACAUCACGAUUAUGUCGCCCACCAUGGUAAACUUUGAGGUCUUUGACCAUUUUACGGUCCAACUCUCUUGUGACUUUGGAUCCUCGAUUACAAUGGUCCAUAAUUCGUACUUCCUUGACAACGAACGGUCCUGACCCUUUGGCUUCAGCUUACCCGGUAAUAACUUGAACCUUGAUUUGAAAAGCAGUACCAUUUGUCCGACAUGAAACUCCUUGCGACGGGCCUUUCCAUCAUGGUAUUUUUCUUCAAUUGCAUCAUUUCGGAAUGAAUCAUGUUGUCAUGUGGAUGCUCAUAGCUUUAAAAAGAUUAAAGGUCACCUCUUCGUCUUGCACUCUCACCUUCAUUAGUCCAUCAUCUACGUCAAUCAUCAUCCGCUGUUUUUCAUAAAGGUCUUCAAGAAUUAGGGCACAUCACGGUCCUCAUCCAUCUCCACUAUUACGAAAUCUACCGGAAACAAGAAUUUGUCCACCUUCACUAACAUGUCUUUAGCAAUUCCGUAUGGUAAAGUGGUAGACUUGUCGGCUAGUUGUAAAGUCAUUCUCGUCGAUUUAAUCUCAACAUUCCUAAUCUUUUAACAAUGGAGAGAGGGAUUAAAUUUAUACUAGAGCCCAAGUCAAUCAAACCAUUUCCAGUAUGUGCUUCCAAUGGUCACCGGUAGAACAACCCGGCCCGGAUCAGACUCCUUCCUUGGGAGAGUCUUUUGGAUGAUAGCACUACACCGUGCAUCAAGCAGUAUGGUCUCGUCUUCCACGUGUCUCCUUUUCUUUUGUAAGAAUGUCUUCAUGAACUUGGCAUACCGUGGCAUUUGUUCUAAUGCAUCAGCAAUGGAAUGUUGAUUUGAAGCUGCUUGAAGAUGUCCAUAAACCGUGCAUAGUGUCUAGCGUUAUCCUUCUUUGAUGGUGCGUGCGGAUAUGGUAGAUGUUGAACUGGAAUGACAUUCACUCCUUUGUCUCCUUUUUUCUUAUUUCUUGGUUCGAUUUCCUUAUUCAUUUCCGCUUCACACCGCUGCUCUUCAUCAGUUGUUGUUCUGCUGUUUUCGCGGCGCGAAGGAGAUAUCGCGGCGCGAACUGAGCAGUUUUCUACCACUUUUCUUCUUCCCACAAGCCACAUCCUCAUUUUCCAGCACAACAUCCAUAUCAUUCUCAACUGUAAUUUCUCACCUUUUUUACUUGUCAACUCUCUACCGCUUCUAGUAAAAAUUGCUUUGCAAUGCUCCUUUGGAUUAGUUUGAGUAUUAGCGGAGAAAGAAGAUCCUGCAGUUGUUUCCGACAGCUGUUUCGCAAGUUGACCUAUUUGAUUUUCCAAAUUCUUGAUUGCUGCUUCAUUACUCUUCUGAUUUGCCAUGGAAGCUUGCAUGAAUUGUUGAAGAGUGUCCUCUACGUGGAACUUCCUCCUUGCGAUUGUUGGCCUUGAGAAUUGGGGUGUUGAUAAGGACUUUGCUGCUGAAAUUUUGAUUGUUGAACCUUGUUGGUUGGUAACCUUGAUUGUUCCUUUGAUAGCCUUGAUUUUGAUUGUUCACAUAGCUCACUUCUUCUAGCGGAGGGCAAAAACCAGUAGAGAUCUCCUUGGCAAUAACUCGCACAUGCUACGUGAUGUCGAACUUGAGAACUUUGAAUCUCCUUCAUUUGCUGUGGAAGCUUGGCCAUUUGUUGAGUGAGAAGCUCCACUUGUUGAGAGAGUAGCUUGUUUUGAGCAGGAUGGCAUAUUUGGUAUUUAAUUCAAGAACUCCCGGUUUACGUUGUGAAGAACUACGAUCAUGUUGACUUUGACGAUCAUUGAGUGCCAUCCGGUCAAUAAUAACGUUAGCUUCUUCGCGCAGUUUUUGACAUAAGAGAGCCACUCGCGGUAGCAUCCCAAAAGUGUUCUGUGAGUUGAUUGGAGCCCAUUUAGAAAAAUAUGGAUUUGAGUGAGCUCAUCAAAACCAUGACCCUUGCAUUUUCCAACAUUGACUUGAAUCUUUCCCAACCCUCAUUUAAAGACCUCGUUGCUUCCUGAGUGAAUACCGCAAUAGCCGUUUUGGCUUCCAUGAAUCGGGAUUGAGGGAAAUAUCUUUCUAAGAACUUUUCUUCUAACAAAUUCCAAUCCGUCAUAACUCUUGCUGCUUGAUCAAGGUACCACUCUUUUUGCUUUUCCCACUAAGGAGUGUGGGAACAUCCUCUUGAAUAAUGCUUCUUCACCCGCUUCAUCAAUUCCCGUCGAACCCCGCAAUCUCAUAGAAUUUGAUGAGAUGGGAGUACGGAUCUUCAUGAUCCAUUCCGGUGAAUGGAUUGCAUAGAGAAGUUGGAGGAUUCCGGUCUUCAUCUCUGUAUUUCUUCCUCCACGGGCAAAUUGAGCAUUCCUUCUUGGACUAUUAGCGACAUUUCGGUACGAUUGUCAUCCGCCAUGUUUCCUUUACAAGCCUCUACAACCACUUCUUCGAUUUGAACAAGUGCGGAAGUAGAUGCUUCUUCUCUCCGGUUCCUCUCUUCGGCUAGUUUCCUUCUUCUUCGUGUUUGCUAUUGAGCUUCCGAAGUGUUCUUUCAAUUUCAGGAUCGAAUUGAAGUUGCUUCUCAGUUGCUUUUCCUCGCAUGCACUAGAAUCUUCAAAACUAACAAACCAAGUGAAACAAAAGAGGGAUCAAUAAAAGUAACAAAACUUAACAAUAAUUAUUGCAAUGCUUGUAAUAUCGACACCAAUCCCGGCAACGGCGCCAAUUUGUUGAAUAGUAUAUCUUCGGCAAAUAUUUUGUGUAUCGUAUCCACAGAGAUUGGGUAAUAUUACCGCCGUUCUAUAAUUCAAAUGUUAUAAGUUUAGAAAGUAACCAGGGUUGUUUUGUUUGGAGAAAUAUUUUGUGAGUGAAAAUUAACAAAACUAUGAAGUGGUUUUAGUCAAAUAUAGAAGUUUGCAAGAUUGGAGUUCACUAUUUCAAAUGUCUAUGAUUCCCUAUGAUAGAUAAAUAGAUUCAAGUUUGAUGAUGUUCAAAUAUCCUCUCAAAGUCAUUUAUGUUCUAAAUGUUAUCGUGAUAAUCACUAUAUUAAUCCUUAGACGAUCUCUCCACCUAACUAUCAAUAUAGCAAUCUUUAAUGUUCAAUAUCAAAGAAUAGUAAUGAAUAAAUCUAUCUCUACAACUUAUUCCACUACUUGAAAUCUGUUUUAUGUCUAAACUCGAGUAAUCUCUCUCGACAACUACUCAAAUCUGGUUUUCACUUAAGCAAAAAACAGUAUUCAAUACAUCAACAAUCUUUAUCUCAUAUAUAAAUCAAGUGAAUACAUCAACAGAUGAGAAUAGCUACUACUCCAAUCUUGACAAAAGGGAGUUUAGCUCCUAUCAUCAUUGUUACAAAGCAGAAAGUUCAAGCAGAAAAAACUCUGUUUUUCUCCCUUACAAAAGCUCUCAGAACAAUCUAUGAAUGAUAAUGAAUAAUUAAUUCCUAGAAUAAUGUAUUUCUCUCCUAAAAGAGUUGACAUUUCCUUAAUUGGUCAUUCUCAUCCAAUGCAGAAAAGCAAUUCCAAGGCAGACCCAAAAUGGCAAAAACAGCUGGCCUUCAAAACAGCACUUUUGACCCAAAAAUCAGUUUGCUGGAUUCGCAGGGUUCGCGGGGCGAACUGGUCCUGUCAUGCAGUUCGCGGGGCGAACUUUGUUCGCGGGGCGAACUGAAGCUGCCUCAGUUUCCUUGUUUUGCAAGCUUCAUCCAAAAUCUUCCAUAUUAUGAUGCUGCAAUCCAAAGCUUUCUCAUCCAAAAAUUCUACAAAACUAACAAAUAUGUGAAAUAACUAUUCAAAACAAAAUAAAUUAAACCUAAUUGCAUUUAUACAAAAUAGUGAGAAUAAAAGUGUGUAAUUACAUCAAAACUUGGUAAAAGGGACCAAUAAAAUGGUAUAAAAAGUAGUACUAAUUGGUCCCUAACAAUUAUGUGCCAAAAUUGCAAAACAAAGGGGGAGGUAUACAAAAAUAAGAGGAUAUUUCAACUUGGAACAAAAACAGAAAAAAAAAUGGGGUUUCAUCAUAAAAGAGGGGUAUAUUCUGAAGAAGAUUUCAUCUAGGAACUUGGUUGAGUUUUGAUGAAGACAACAAUAUCAACAAAGAAGAAAAAGAUGAAUGUGACAUUUAACCAAUAUAAAAAUGGCAAGGAUCGUCUAAGUUAAGGUUAAGCAUGCCUUUACUUUAAUAUAUCACCAUUCAACUUAUAUGUCACUUAAAAGUCUCAUAAAACUUCAUUUAAUCAUAAGAUAACUUGUUUACAAAGUUAAAAGAUAGAACCCAUUAAAGAAAUAUGUUUAAUUUAAUUUUUAAAAGAAAGCAAAUGUUGUAAUUGUUGGGUUUGGGUUCCAUUCCUACGUGGAGAAAAGCCCAAAUAUGAUUAGCCCAUUUGUAUCACUUAUUUAAGUGGAGAGGUUCAACUUAGGGUUGAGAGAGAUAGAGUGAAAAUAAGGAUUCAAAAGAGAGAAAAGAGGAGAAACACUCAUUCCUGUUUUUCUGCAAUCAGUCUCAUUAAAUCAAUGAUCUUCGAUUUGUUAAACAUUGGAUCGAGCUCAAAUUUGGAGGGAAGGUUCGUAAACAUAUACUAGGAUCUGGUGGGCACUAUAUGCUUAGGAUAAUGCUAGGUGAUGAGUGACAAGGUACGAGCCAUACACUUAGGAAUGGGACUAAGUGUUGGUGAGCGGGUUUGGAUGCGUUAUAUAGAGUAUGAUGUUCUUUAUGCUAUGUUGAACUAAGAUGGUUGGGUAAUUGGUAAAAAUGAACCAUAAUUACCGUGUUAUGUCUAAACUUGGUGUUGGAUAUGGAUGCGUGUAUAUCAUCCUACAUGAUGGAUACCCAGUUGACUAGUAUCAUAGGUUAGUAACAUAAUAAGUGUGAUUAAGGUUAUGAGAUGCUAAGAAUGUCACAUAAAAACCUAGAUUAAUCAUAUACAAUUACGGAGAAUCAUGGACGACACUCUUAUGUUUUUAUUAUAUUCAUAAAGAGUUGAACUGGAAGGACCUACAGAGUGUCACAAUAUCUCUACUGGGCACAAGCUACACGAAUUAUCCCUUCAUCCAGGUGUGGGAUUUGUGAAGAUCUCAGUCUCGACGUGUCAUUCUUGAUGUUGCAAAACUAUGUGUUACUAGCCUAUUCUGUUACACUUAUUUAUAGAUGCUACAAAAUUAUGUGUCACUGGCCUUUUCUGUGACGGUUCAAAAAACUAUCGCCCAAACCGUCGUAAAUUUUUACGACAGUUAUGGAAUUGACUUUAACAAUAUAAAUUUGACGGUUUUAACUGUCGUCAAAUUAUAAUGAUGUUUUGUAAAGUUGUAAGAGUCCAAACUAUCAUAAAUUUCCUUUUGAGAAAUCAUUAACAUAUAUUUUGUAACCAUUUAAAGUGAUGUUAUACAUUCAUUAUAUUUUUUACUUUAGCACCAUUAACCUGUAGGAAUCAGACUAAAGGAUCAGGCUAGAUCUUAGACUGUUAGUAUCACUAAUAAUGAAUCAAAGGGCACCAAAAUAAACCAAAAACCACAACCAACCUUACAAACAAGACAAACCUUUUAUCGAUUUUUGAUGUUUUUAUUUAAACAUAGGAUAAGAUUUUCAAAUUAGUUUGAGAAAAUUAAUGAAUUUAUCAAUGUUUUAUCUAAAAAUUAAUUUUUGAUCAACUAAAUACUUUUAUCCUCCUCCCCCUCUUUCUCCUUUGAUGAAACAACAUUGAAGAUACCUUCAUUAAUUGACCAAACAACAUAACAUGUCAAAUCAUGUGAGGCUUGGUCGUUCAUCCCAACCAACAGUUGGGAUCUAUUUCUAUUUUUAUUGUAGUGAUAAUAUACAAAAUGUAUAAAUUCUUACUUCAAAUAUAUAAUGAUUGCUUCUUACGGUUUGCACCAACAUGCUAAAGAGAACAACUACACACAUUGAUUAAUAAAGA